UCAAGUUUCCUACCAAGCGUAGGAUUGUUCACCCUUUCAAGGGAACGUGAGCUGGGUUUAGACCGUCGUGAGACAGGUU
rnacentral:rRNA from 1 species